GAAGAGAAAAAAGCUCUGGCCAAGCCUCCUAGGUGCAAGUCACGCGUUGUGCGGUGCACGUGAUCGAUCGUUCACCGUUACUCUUUAAGCACUCGCCUUCUUUCUCUAUCUCUCUCUCUCAACCCAAUUUCCCGAGGUCAGCACAGCACAGCACUCUUCAACCAUCAAUCAUCCAUCGCCUUCUUCAUUUCACCACCGCGCGCACAAUUGCAAUUACAUUUCCACCCCCCAAAUUUCCCUUUCAGAAGAAAAAACCACCACCACCUCACCUCUGAUCCGUGCACCUCACGUGCCCAUGGCUCCUGCUACCUCCGAGCGCGUGGAGUUGGCCAGGCUCUGCGCCUCCAAGGACUGGUCCAAAGCCAUUCGAAUCCUCGAUUCCCUCGUUUCUCAUUCCAACGCAAUUCAAGACCUAUGCAACCGCGCGUUCUGUUACAGCAAAUUAGAGCUCCACAAGCACGUGAUUAAGGAUUGCGACAGAGCGCUUCAGCUUGACCCUACGCUUCUUCAAGCUUAUAUUCUCAAAGGUUCUGCGCUCUCUGUGUUGGGAAGGAAAGAAAAUGCUCUAUUGGUAUGGGAGCAGGGCUAUGAACAUGCUCUGCAUCAGUCUGCUGACUUGAAACAGCUGCUAGAACUUGAAGAGCUUAUAGCGACUGCAAAACAAGGCAACAAUACACUGUGUGAAAGUGAAACCCAUAGGUCGUUGCCACAAACCAAAUCAGUUUCUCUGAGUAAUGGGAGCUCUAGUGAAACUUGUAAGAUCCAAGAUACAUUGGGCACUCGGGCUGAAUUAUGUGGUGAUGCUACUGGUGAUAAAUCAGAGACAUGCCUAAAGUCUGCUGAUAAUUCCAACUUAAAGCAUGAAUCACAUGAUGAAUAUAGAGAGUCUAAUAAAUCUGAUGGCCAAGUGAAUGGAAGCCCUGAUGUUCUUGAUACACUUAGUUACAAUUCUGAAUCAUGUAAUGACUCAAGUGAUGCCUCAGAAUCAAGCGAUAAAGUAUCUACCAAUAGUGGUGACUCAGCUAAUGUCCCUAAAAUUUUUAGAAACCCAAUUAGUAAGUUUAUAUUUUCUGAUGAAAGAAAAGGUGAAGCAAGGAAAAAUAAGAAGUUCUGCGUUGCUCGGAUUUCAAAUACAAAUUCCAUUAGUGUAGAUUUUCGACUCUCAAGGGGUAUAGCAGAGGUUAAUGAAGGAAAAUAUGCUCAUGCCAUAUCCAUUUUUGACCAGAUACUGAAAAAGGACCCAGCUUAUCCUGAGGCACUAAUAGGAAGAGGUACAGCAUAUGCAUUCCAGAGGGAACUUGAUGCUGCUAUAGCUGAUUUUACAAAGGCUAUACAAUUUAAUCCAUUGGCUGGUGAGGCAUGGAAAAGGAGAGGUCAGGCCAGGGCAGCCUUGGGAGAGUUUGUUGAGGCUAUUGAAGACUUGACCAAGGCAUUAGAGUUUGAACCUGACACAGCAGAUAUUUUACAUGAGAGAGGAAUUGUCAAUUUCAAAUUUAAAGAGUUUGAUGCAGCUGUUGAAGACCUUUCAGCUUGCGUGAAGCUAGAUAAGGAUAAUACGUCUGCCUACACAUAUUUGGGUUUAGCAUUAUCUUCAAUUGGUGAAUAUAAGGAAGCUGAGGAAGCUCAUCUCAAAUCACUUCAACUUGACAAAAAUUUCCUUGAAGCAUGGGCACAUCUGACUCAGUUCUAUCAAGAUUUAGCUAAGCCAACAAAGGCUCAGGAAUGUAUAAAUAGGAUGCUACAUAUUGAUGGGAGGUUUGCAAGAGCUUAUCAUUUGCGUGGCCUUCUGUUCCAUGCAAUGGGUGAACACAGGAAGGCUAUCAAGGAUUUGACAAUGGGGUUGAGCAUUGAUGGCAGCAACAUUGAAUGUUUGUAUUUACGUGCUUCCUGCUACCAUGCUGUUGGACAAUACAAAGAAGCGGUCAAGGACUAUGAUGCUGCAUUGGAUUUGGAACUGGAUUCAAUGGACAAGUUCGUGCUUCAGUGCCUUGUCUUUUAUCAGAAAGAGAUUGCCCUGUACACAGCCUCAAAAUUUAAUGGUGAUUUUUGCUGGUUUGAUAUUGACGGGGAUAUUGAUGCUCUUUUUAAGGAAUACUGGUGCAAGAAAUUGCAUCCAAAGAAUGUAUGCGAAAAGGUUUUCAGGCAACCUCCUUUACGCGAGUCUUUAAGAAAGGGAAAGCUUAAAAAGCAAGAGUUUACUAUUACCAAGCAGAAGGCUGCUCUUCUACAGGCUUCAGACUCCAUUGGCAUGAAAAUCCAAUAUGAUUGUCCAGGAUUCCUACCUAAUAGACGCCAGCAUCGAAUGGCUGGACUUGCUGCUAUUGAAAUUGCACAAAAAGUCUCAAAGGCUUGGCGUUCCCUGCAUGCUGAAUGGAAAUAUUCGAAUAAAGGAAAUUCAAAGAAUGGGAGAAGGGCCAGGAGAAGGGAAAGAAUUAACAUGCCCAGUCAAAAUAGAGGAGGUGCUGGUUGUAGUACAAGCAGUACCUCAGUAACAUCUUCAAAUGGAACUGUAGAUGAUAGAUUAUCCAGCCGUACAUUUUCGUGGCACAAUGUUUACUCAUUAGCUGUUAGAUGGAGACAGAUUUCUGAGCCUUGUGAUCCUGUUGUAUGGGUGAACAAGCUAAGUGAUGAGUUUAAUGCUGGAUUUGGUUCUCACACACCUAUGAUUCUUGGGCAAGCCAGAGUUGUUCGUUACUUUCCUAAUUAUGAAAGAACGUUAGAAAUUGCAAAGACUGUAAUGAAAGAGAGAUCAUUUGUCCGCAGCAAAACAGACAAGAUCAUUCAUCUUUCCGAAGAUGGGAAAUUAGAAGAGAUUAUGCAUGCAAAAUCAUGUUCUGAUCUUUAUAAAGUUAUUGGUGAGGAUUUUUGGUUGGCUACCUGGUGCAACAGUACUGCAUUUGAAGGGAAGCAGCUUGAAGGAACUAGGAUAAACCUUGUAAAAAUGGGAGAGCAUGGUUUUGACUUUGCAAUCAAAACACCUUGUACCCCUGCUAGAUGGGAAGAUUUUGACGAAGAAAUGACAGUGGCAUGGGAAACUCUCUGCAAUGCUUACUGUGGUGAAAACUAUGGGUCUACUGACUUCGACACGCUUGAAAACGUGCGAGAUGCAAUUUUAAGGAUGACAUAUUACUGGUAUGACAUUUUAAAAAUGGUUAAAUUAUCUUUGAUUUUGUGCAUCUGAAAAUCAUUUCUGCAAAUCUGAUUGAACUGCUUUUCAGGUAUAACUUUAUGCCACUGUCUAGGGGAUCGGCAGGGGUUGGAUUUAUAGUUAUGCUGGGUUUGUUACUUGCUGCCAACAUGGAGUUCACAGGAAGCAUCCCACAGGGUUUGCAGGUUGAUUGGGAAGCCAUUUUGAACUUGGAUCCAAACUCGUUUGUGGAUUCGGUUAAAACGUGGCUGUAUCCAUCUCUGAAGGUCACAACCUCAUGGAAAGACUACCCUGAUAUUGCUUCAACAUUUGCAACAACAGGGUCGGCCAUUGCUGCUUUGAACUUUUCUUUUGAUGAUUGAACUCCUGUCUGUAAUUAUGACCGUGAGUUAGUUGCAUAUUAACUGUGACAAGUUUGUUACAUUGUAACCAUAUGUUAACGAUUAUACAAUAAAGUUUUUAUGGCAUUGGAUGACAAAUUACCAUUUCUAUUA